GGAUUGACACAUCGGUCGUGCCUUAAGGGGUAUGAACUGGCGUAGCCAAUUCCUCACCUUCUGGUGAAUUGUGAUGCCUCUUUAACUGGGUGUUUCAAUGAACUAGGACUUUUACUUUGAAAAAAUUAGAGUGUUUAAAGCAGGCAUUAUUUGCUUGAAUACAUUAGCAUGGAAUAAUAAAAUAGAACGAUGAUUCUAUUUUGUUGGUUUCUAGGAUCACUGUAAUGAUUAAUAGGGAUAGUUGGG
rnacentral:rRNA from 1 species